GAUGAACGCUAGCUACAGGCUUAACACAUGCAAGUCGAGGGGCAGCACAGUGUAGCAAUACAUGGGUGGCGACCGGCGCACGGGUGCGUAACGCGUAUCCAACCUUCCCGUUACUCUUGGAUAGCCUUCCGAAAGGGAGAUUAAUACAGGAUGGUGUUUGAAUUCCGCAUGUUAUUCAAACUAAAGAUUUAUCGGUAACGGAUGGGGAUGCGUGACAUUAGAUAGUUGGCGGGGUAACGGCCCACCAAGUCUACGAUGUCUAGGGGUUCUGAGAGGAAGGUCCCCCACACUGGAACUGAGACACGGUCCAGACUCCUACGGGAGGCAGCAGUGAGGAAUAUUGGUCAAUGGCCGAGAGGCUGAACCAGCCAAGUAGCGUGAAGGAUGAAGGUUCUAUGGAUUGUAAACUUCUUUAUACGGGAAUAACAUCACCUACGUGUAGGUGCCUGCAUGUACCGUAUGAAUAAGCAUCGGCUAACUCCGUGCCAGCAGCCGACGG
rnacentral:rRNA from 1 species